UUCCUGCUCCCUUUGUAAAGCUGCCUGUGAGAGAUUGGAGAAAUGGGAUGGACAUGACUCAAUACUUCUCAAUACACAAAAGAUAUGAUUCAACAGUAGCAUCUUCCCAUGUGGUAUCCAAAGCGAUGAAAUUGACUCUGAAAUUAGUGCCAAUGUUCUCCUCUGUUGGCCCCUCUUCCAUUUCUGGAUUUCCAGAGGAUGUUUUUCUAAAGACCUGUGAUUCGUACAUGCCAAAUCAGCAGAGCAAAAAUUCAUGACAUCUGCAGCACAGAAUAAAAGAACUUCAUGUAUGAAGAGUAUCCUUCUCUGCACUGUAGGACUCCUACCAUCUGACAGCAGGGAGUGCUGCAGAGAACAUCCAAAGAGAAUCCAGGUCUGACAGUCCUAUCAAUCAUAACAAAACUGCCUCGGGGGCUGAGUAAGGACUUGCAAGACAUCUUGCCCGAGAUCUAACUCUGCUAUGAAGAAAAGGGAAGCAAGCACUUGUCCUCCCUCGAGGAGCACUCCAACCAUGAGGCUAUCACAGAAAAAGACGUGUUACACUCCUACUCGCCACUCCUUCCUUC